rnacentral:lncRNA from 1 species
AAUCAACCAGGGCAGUAUCAGCUCCUUUGGGGUAGUGGGUGGAGAGCAGGAGUCUCAGUUUAUGAGGAGGGGCCUGGAAAGUUUGGAGAAGUGCAAAAGACAGAGACCCAGGAGACUACGAAGGCAAACUUCACCCACUUGGCAAAUUUUACUAGUGAUUCCUGAUGCGCAUCCAUCUGUCUUCUCCACCAGCUUGUGAACUCCUUGAGCCAAUUACUCUGCAACACCUAGCGUGAUGCCUGGUGCAAAUGCCUCCUGGCCUCCUAGCUAUACCCCAUCUCUCCAUCGCCCCCUGUGAAGCUAUAAAACAAUGAACAGAAGCUCAAAGUAGUCCAGCAACAUUUGAUAUUUUAAACAAAUCCUGGCUUUAUCUGAACAUAGUUAUAUCCUCACUUCAUAGCUGUAUCUUCAACACCAGCAAGCCCCCUUCAGGUCUCCACCUCUGGGAGAAGCCAUUAUGUGAAGCUACUAGAAGAUAACCAAGAGCCCAGCAGCAGCAGACCAUCUCAGAGAGCUUGGCUGGCUCCUUCUUGAAGAGUUUGUUCUUGCCUGGUAUCAAGUCUCUGAAAUCAUUCAAACUUCUUGGAACCGUUUUCCAAUUCAUGACUAAAUUUCUACCUUCAGGACCUCUGACUUUUUGGGAAUCUCUCAUUAGUUCCCUCACUAGAAUGAGUCUGUGAUUCAUCCUAAAUCACAAGGAUGAUCAGAUAAAAUUGUUAACAGAAUGGUUUGUUUCUGGUGCAUGAUGACUUAUUGGAAAUAAGAAUUAAGAUAAUUUGCUUUACUUUACAUGAUUGAUAGUGUUUCCAGCCAUCACCUCUGAUCAAUACAGGCUAUAAUUUUGUGGCAUUAAUGAAAAAAGACUUAAUGAGCAGCUCUCCUUCUUUCACCGGGUGGGUCCCACUGUCAAACAAAAAACCAAAGUCCCCUCGAUAGGAAACUUCCAUUCCCCAUCAGCAGGCUUAGCUCAAUUUGUGGAUUAUACCUCUUCAGCUCAGCAAGUAACAAAUUAAUCAUUUUUUUCUCCUACUGAGGCAUUUUACCUCCCAACCUGAAUUUCAGAACUCGUCUUGAUUAAUGUUGAUGUGCUGAACACUGUCGCCAUUAAGUCAUAUAUCUUGCAAAGAGCCAAUUGGAGAAAUAAUUCAUACAUCUCCUGAUGAAAAGUUUUUCAAAACUCCCAGUGCAAUAUUCCGAUGGAUUAAUCUUCUAUGGUAUCCUGAUGCUUCUUUCAAACAGUGGCUUUUCUUGUAAUUGUUCUUGCCUAGGGUUUUUUUCUAUUAUGUCAAUUUAAUGGAAGUGCUGUUCCUGCUUCAAAACUGCAUGUGAACAACAGGUGUAGAUGAAGUUGUUCCACAUGCUAAUUAUUAGUGUUUGAGAGCAAUAUUUUGUGAAAUAUACUUCACUACCCCAAAGCAAUUUUUACUACUAUCCUUUUACAUUUAAUGAAAAAAUAUCUAAAGAAUAUGUAAUAAUAUGUGCCAGUGUGUGUGUACUAACCUUUCAAGCUGAUAAUUAUUGGCCCAUUCAAAAUCAGUAACUAUAAACUUUACAGAAAUUUGUUUCCAUUUGAGAAGGUGAUUCAAGAUUCAAACUCUGUCCGCCCUGUUUUGAACUAGGUCAUGACAUCUCUGUAAAAAACAAAUCCUAUAUGAGAAGCAAGUUACGGUUAUUAAACUAUAUCCUCAUGGAGACAGAAAGUUGAUGGUAAAUUACCCAGUAAAGAGUAACCUGAUUUUGAAUGCAACCACUGGGAAUUUAAUCAACUGUUAAGUGGUGCCUUGAUUUUUAAAUUAUAUAAAAAUCACUUGCUGUAUUUUCAACUCUGAACACCUACCCCAAAGUCUGGCAU